rnacentral:rRNA from 1 species
AUUGAACGCUGGCGGCAUGCUUUACACAUGCAAGUCGAACGGUAACAGGCCUUCGGGUGCUGACGAGUGGCGAACGGGUGAGUAAUGCAUCGGAACGUGCCCAAUCGUGGGGGAGUAACGUAGCGAAAGUUACGCUAAUACCGCAUAAGCCCUCGAGGGGGAAAGGCAGGGGAGUCGCAAGACCUUGCGCGAAUGGAGCGGCCGAUGUCAGAUUAGCUAGUUGGUGGGGUAAAGGACCUACCAAGGCGACGAUCUGUAGCGGGUCUGAGAGGAUGAUCCGCCACACUGGGACUGAGACACGGCCCAGACUCCUACGGGAGGCAGCAGUGGGGAAUUUUGGACAAUGGGCGCAAGCCUGAUCCAGCCAUGCCGCGUGCGGGAAGAAGGCCUCGG